rnacentral:rRNA from 1 species
GACGAACGCUGGCGGCGUGCCUAAUACAUGCAAGUCGAACGCACAGUUUAUACCUUCGCUUGCUACACCAUAGACUGGGAGGUGCGAACGGGUGAGUAACGCGUAGGUAACCUGCCUGGUAGCGGGGGAUAACUAUUGGAAACGAUAGCUAAGACCGCAUAAUAUUGAUUAUUGCAUGAUAAUUGAUUGAACGAUGCUAUUGCAUCACUACCAGAUGGACCUGCGUUGUAUUAGCUAGUAGGGGAGGUAACGGCUCACCUAGGCGACGAUACAUAGCCGACCGGAGAGGGUGAUCGGCCACACUGGGACUGAGACACGGCCCAGACUCCUGCGGGAGGCAGCAGUAGGGAAUCUUCGGCAAUGGACGAAAGUCUGACCGAGCAACGCCGCGUGAGUGAAGAAGGUGUUCGGAUCGUAAAGCUCUGUUGUAAGAGAAGAACGGGUGUGAGAGUGGAAAGUUCACACUGUGACGGUACCUUACCAGAAAGGGACGGCUAACUACGUG